rnacentral:rRNA from 1 species
GAUGAACGCUGGCGGCGUGCCUAAUACAUGCGAGUCGAGCGAACGGACGAGAAGCUUGCUUUUCUGAUGUUAGCGGCGGACGGGUGAGUAACACGUGGAUAACCUACCUAUAAGACUGGGAUAACUUCGGGAAACCGGAGCUAAUACCGGAUAAUAUUUUGAACCGCAUGGUUCAAAAGUGAAAGACGGUCUUGCUGUCACUUAUAGAUGGAUCCGCGCUGCAUUAGCUAGUUGGUAAGGUAACGGCUUACCAAGGCAACGAUGCAUAGCCGACCUGAGAGGGUGAUCGGCCACACUGGAACUGAGACACGGUCCAGACUCCUACGGGAGGCAGCAGUAGGGAAUCUUCCGCAAUGGGCGAAAGCCUGACGGAGCAACGCCGCGUGAGUGAUGAAGGUCUUCGGAUCGUAAAACUCUGUUAUUAGGGAAGAACAUAUGUGUAAGUAACUGUGAACAUCUUGACGGUACCUAAUCAGAAAGCCACGGCUAACUACGUG